rnacentral:lncRNA from 1 species
AUUUGUGAAUAGUAUCUGGCCUCCAGACACCUGAUUUGCUUUCUCUCUUUGUUUUAGCCGAUAAAGGAUGUCUGGUCUCCAAAUGAAGGCACAGAAAAAAUUGUCAGAACAUCUAUAGCUAAAGAAGACUUGGUGGGACAGUGAAGCUUCAACAAGAAGACAGCAAACCAGGGAGGGACUGUCACCGGACACUAGAUCUGCUCCAGCCUCCAGAACUGGAAAUAAGCAACUGUACGGUCGUUGCUUUUUAAGUUUCAAACUGACAUUCCAGGCGGGCUGUGCCUGAGCCAGCAACUGCCUUCAGAUCUUCAGAGCUCGGGUCCUGGGAAGGUGGAGUCACCAGCUUCUCCCUGGUGAGUAUGUUUCUGUCACUUUCAUGUUCAUUUCUGCAUUUUAUGCCUUAGAGUCUCAGCUCUGUUAAAGCUGGGGAGUCUUGGCGUGGACACCGUGUUUGGUUCAGGCUUUGAAGAUCGAUGAUUUUAGAUCCUGGCUCACCCAGCUCCUGCCCCCAUAGCUACUGUACGUGAGCCUGAUUGUCUGGAGAAGUUUCUCAGCCGUUAACUGUGAGACUGUAGAUGUGGUCUUGGAGGGGACAGUGAUGCUUUGGCUGGAAAAAAAGUGCUUGAGAUUCCUCUCUGGUGCCAAAGGGAGGUUCAGAGAUGGAGGUGGGUGACUUUGUGCUAACCCAGGGGUGCUGAGGCUGGGCCAGCUUCCUCUUCUCAUAGGUGGAGGAAAGACGGCUUCUGAGCAAUUUCUGGCCGCGUGGUCUGAGUUACCCACUUUAAGUGCAAAAAAUGCAAUAGAGAGGCAGGAUUUUGGCUUCCCUCUCUAAAAGCAUGUGAAUGACUCCUGGAGCUUAUAAUAUGUCUUUUGCCUUUCCUUAACACUGAAAGUCACACACUGUAGUAAAAUUGGACAGAAAAGGUGCCGGGGGCUGCGGGCAGGGGCUGAGGAUGGG